rnacentral:lncRNA from 1 species
GUGCGUUUUUUCCUUCUUUUAUUUCAAAUAGAAGUAUAGUUAGGAUAAAUUUUAGAGCAAAUUUAGAUGCUCAGACUAAUGGCAUUUUUGGGCCGUCAAAUUUCAAAAAUUUUCUGCGGAAGUAUGCCCCCAGGCCCCCCUAUUCCUUCACGCUAAGUCGGCCACACACAUGACCCACGGUCAUUACUAUCCCCCUUUAAUAAUAAGUAAUGGAUAAAUUAUUGUUAAUAUUUCUUUUAUUUUUUCUGCAUUUUUUUCCUUCUUUUAUUUCAAAUACAAGUAUAAUUAGCAUAAAUUUUAGAGCAAAUUUAGAUGCUCAUAAAGCA